AGAGAAUGAAAAAAGAACGAUAGAUUUUGACGGAACCCUGUUGUGAGUCAAAUAUAAGUAUAGGAUAACAGCCCAGUUAUUGUAUCUCCCUCAAGAAAUAUUUAUCAAUUUGUAGAAUCAUAAAAAUGCAAAGAAAUAAAGAUUAAUCAUAUGUUAACAAAAGACUUUAUUUUAUCUUUAAGAAGAUAAUGAUAAAAUAAAGAAUUAUGAGUGCUAAAAAGUGCAAGGAAAUAAUAAUUAAUCAUAUGUUAACCAGAAAGAUAAUGAUAAAAUAAAGAUAUAAUUAUAUAAAAUAAAAAUAUAAUAUUAUAAAUGUUAAAAAUA